rnacentral:rRNA from 1 species
GACGAACGCUGGCGGCGUGCCUAAUACAUGCAAGUCGAGCGGACAGAAGGGAGCUUGCUCCCGGAAGUUAGCGGCGGACGGGUGAGUAACACGUGGGCAACCUACCCUGUAGAUCGGGAUAACAUCGAGAAAUCGGUGCUAAUACCGGAUAAUCAUUUGAAGUGCAUGCUUCGAAUGUAAAAGAUGGCUCCGGCUAUCACUACGGGAUGGGCCCGCGGCGCAUUAGCUAGUUGGUAAGGUAAUGGCUUACCAAGGCAACGAUGCGUAGCCGACCUGGGAGGGUGAUCGGCCACACUGGGGCUGAGACACGGCCCAGACUCCUACGGGAGGCAGCAGUAGGGAAUCUUCCGCAAUGGACGAAAGUCUGACGGAGCAACGCCGCGUGAGUGAUGAAGGUAUUCGGAUCGUAAAGCUCUGUUGUUAGGGAAGAACAAGUGCCGUUUGAAUAAGGCGGCACCUUGACGGUACCUAACCAGAAAGCCACGGCUAACUACGUGCCAGCAGCCGCAGUAAUAC